GCAUUGAAAAUAGAGCCCCCUGUUGAUACGG
rnacentral:piRNA from 1 species